rnacentral:rRNA from 1 species
UUUCUCAAUGGGGGAAACCCUGAAGGAGCGACGCCGCGUGGAGGAUGAAGGUCUUCGGGUUGUAAACUCCUGUCAUUUGGGAACAAGUGUCGGUACCUAACUGCUACCGGCUUGAUAGUACCAGAAGAGGAAGAGACGGCUAACUCUGUGCCAGCAGCCGCGGUAAUACAGAGGUCACAAGCGUUGUUCGGAUUCAUUGGGCGUAAAGGGUGUGUAGGUGGCGCGCUAAGUCGGGUGUCACAUUUCGGAGCUUAACUCCGAAACUGCAUUCGAUACUGGCGUGCUUGAGGACUGGAGAGGAGACUGGAAUUCAUGGUGUAGCAGUAAAAUGCGUAGAGAUCAUGAGGAAGACCAGUGGCGAAGGCGGGUCUCUGGACAGUUCCUGACACUGAGACACGAAGGCCAGGGGAGCAAACGGGAUUAGAUACCCCGGUAGUCCUGGCAGUAAACGGUGCACGUUUGGUGUGGGAGGAUUCGACCCCUUCUGCGGCCGGAGCUAACGAGUUAACACGUGCCGCCUGGGCAAGUACGGUCGCAAGAUUAAAACUCAAAGAAAUUGACGGGGGCCCGSACAAGCGGUGGAGUAUGUGGCUUAAUUCGAUGCAACGCGGAGAACCUUACCUGGCCUUGACAUGCAUCUCUAAGCGCGUGAAAGCGCGUGACUCCCGAAAGGGAGAAUUUGCACAGGUGCUGCAUGGCUGUCGUCAGCUCGUGCCGUGAGAUGUUGGGUUAAGUACCGCAACGAGCGCAACCCCUGUGAACUGUUGCCACCAAGCCGUGAGGCUUGAGCACUCUGUUCAGACUGCCCUGUGAAACGGGGAGGAAGGUGGGGACGACGUCAAGUCAGUAUGGCCCUUACGGCCAGGGCUGCACACGUACUACAAUGCCCAGUACAGAACGAUCCGAGACCGCGAGGUGGAGGUAAUCUAGUAAAACUGGGCCCAGUUCGGAUUGGAGUCUGCAACUCGACUCCAUGAAGCGGGAAUCGCU